GACGAACCGUGCGAACGUUAUUCGGAAUCACUGGGCUUAAAGCGCGUGUAGGCGGGCCGGCACGUCGGCCGCUGAAAUCCCCCGGCUCAACCGGGGAAGCGGCGCCGAUACGGCCGGCCUGGAGGGACGUAGGGGGGGCCGGAACUUCCGGUGGAGCGGUGAAAUGCGUUGAGAUCGGAAGGAACGCCCGUGGCGAAAGCGGGCCCCUGGACGUCUACUGACGCUGAGACGCGAAAGCCAGGGGAGCGAACGGG
rnacentral:rRNA from 1 species